rnacentral:sRNA from 2 species
AGACCGUUUCGGUAGGUGAGGCUACCGCAGGGAUACGGGUUGCUGCCGCAAAGUAGUGGAAACACUAUGAGAAGGUGAACAGUCCAUGUCGAAAAACAAGGCAUGGAAUAAUGUAAUUUCAUUGCCCUGCGAAGUUAAAGCUUGAACGAUGGCGGAAGACG